UGAGCUGAGUACCCGCAGAUAGGGUAUAUAUUGCCAGCUCAGUGGCAGGCCCCCAUUCAAACUAUUUCGAGCUCCAUUCACAAAUGAAACACUAGCUUCUUCCUCCGUCGCACGAGCUGCUUCUUCUCUCCGUGGCUGUUACUUCUGCUUCUUCCGUCGCUGCCGCCGCCGCCACUUGCGUCGCACAAUCUCUCUGUCAUCCCUGGUAUCGCACGAGAUCCCUCCACGGCCGCUCUCGUCGCGUCUACUCCCAUUGUUGCAGAGCUCUCUCUGACGCCGCUCUCAUUGCAUCUGCUCCCUCUGGCGCCUCUUCCAUCUAAUCUCAACUCGCUCUCUCAGUUCUUCUCGUAACCACCUCAAAUUUCAGGCACUAAAAACCAGCAACUAUGGUUCUGAACCUAUGCUUCAAAAUUGUGGAAUUUCUAUAAGCACUGGCUUUACUCAAGUGGAUGGUCGUGUUCUGCCUUCGCCAAGGAAGAGGCAAUUCGAAGAUCUACUGCACAAGAGCAGGAUGAUAUUCAAGCUUUGAGGUUUGUUACCUUAUUUAUAUAUAUAAAGGAUUCUGUUAUACUUGCUGUAUUUGUUACCUUAUUUCUGGUUUUGGAACCUUUUAAGUUGUAACUCCAUAUUUAUAAUUUUGUCCUGUGAAGUGUUAGCUCGUAGAGAAGUAGUAAUUAGCGUAUGUAUCACAUUCACAACUGUGGCGCUAACAUUGCACUCCAUCUGUUUGUAUAAAUGUCUCACCCAAUAACUGAAAUUUUUUUGCAGCAAAACCGUGUUAUUUUUAUUCUUGUAACAAUUACAGCUUUAGAUACAUGGAAACCAAGUCAUUUGAGGAACCUUAUUCCACCAACGAUGAGGUCUACUUGCAAAAUGAAAGUGAUUAAGAUGAUAAUGACAGUACCUUUUCUUCCAGUUCCACCACCAAGUUACAGUUCAGAUACAAAAAAGAAAUAUAUGAACUUGUAAAGAAGCGGUCAGAGGAGGCUGACGAUGUCAAUGAGAUAAUCAAUAACUUUUCCAUGUGUGUCAUCUCCAGGUCUAUUUAUUCAUUCACUGUUGAUUAUUGUUUUAUUGUUCAUUGCCGAUGGUCUUGCUGUUGCUGGGCAAGUUGAUACCUCUCUGUUUACAUAAUGCACUAUUUUUUACUUCAUCCUACUUUCAAUCUAUUUUUGUUCAUACCUCUCUGUUUACAUAAUGCCAAAUCUAUGUUUGCU